rnacentral:rRNA from 1 species
UACCAGCACCCCGAGUGGUCGGGACGUUUAUUGGGCCUAAAGCAUCCGUAGCCGGUUCUGCAAGUCCUCCGUUAAAUCCAGCUGCUCAACAGAUGGGCCGCGGAGGAUACUACAGAGCUAGGAGGCAGGAGAGGCAAGCGGUACUCAGUGGGUAGGGGUAAAAUCCGUUGAUCCAUUGAAGACCACCAGUGGCGAAGGCGGCUUGCCAGAAUGCGCUCGACGGUGAGGGAUGAAAGCUGGGGGAGCAAACCGG